rnacentral:misc_RNA from 1 species
GAUGAAGAACGUAGCGAAAUGCGAUAAGUAAUGUGAAUUGCAGAAUUCAGUGAAUCAUCGAAUCUUUGAACGCACAUUGCGCCCCCUGGUAUUCCGGGGGGCAUGCCUGACCGAGCGUCAUUACAACCCUCAAGCUCAGCUUGGUAUUGGGCCCCGCCGACCCGGCGGGCCCUAAAGUCAGUGGCGGUGCCGUCCGGCUCCGAGCGUAGUAAUUCUUCUCGCUCUGGAGGUCCGGUCGUGUGCUCGCCAGCAACCCCCAAUUUUUUUCAGGUUGACCUCGGAUCAGGUAGGGAUACCCGCUGAACUUAAGCAUAUCAAUAAGCGGAGGA